CCCAUACCCUAGUAGCCCGCGACACACUCUCCUCGCUCGAUCCCCUUUGUCCUUCCACGCGCCGCCACCUCUCUCUCUUCCUCUCUCCGAUCCAGAUCGAAGAUGGCGGCUACCGCCGAUGGGAUCCCACUGCAUCACUAUCCCGCCCUCCACCCCACCACAUCGUCUCCCACCGUCCACCCACACUGGCCAUUUCACUCUCUCUUUGUCUCUCGCAACCAAUCCAGAUCCAGAUCCGCAGCGGCCGUCGCCAACAUCUCGGGGCCCUCCGAUCCCACCCCUCCCUUCUGACCCCGAGGCUGCUGGCCAAUGCCUACGGCGGCAAGGGCGGCGCCUACUACGAGUGGAGCCUCGCGGAGCUGCCCAUGCUCGGCGUUGCCUCCAUCGAAUGCCAUGGCAGACGCAGCUGGGCAUCGCGCUGGACUGCGCCCGCCCAUCGCCAGCAGCACAACCCGCCCUCUCCCUCCCAUUGACCCACCUACCAGCGCCUCCAGCAUGGAGCUCCGCCUCUGCCUCCACCUCCACCCGCACGCGCGGCCCCCUUCCGCCCCGACGCCGCCUCCAUGCCCUGUGGCCGUGCUGCUUCCCGCGUCCUGCCGCGGCCGCCGACUGCGGAUUGGAUUGGUAAAGGACUGCUCCUGUUGCGCCCUCUCUCUCGGUUUGACUCUCUCUCUAUCUUUCUGCUGGCGCCGCUGGAUUAGAGGGUGGAGCCUGAGCCUCCGCUGGAGCAGGGAUCAGACAUUUGUUUGAUCCCAGGCAUCUUCGAGGGCAUCAACGUGACUGUGUUUGCUUAUGGAGCGACGGACAGCGGCAAGACCUACACCAUGCAGUUGCUUCAAGUUAAAAGCGCAUGAAGGGCAGGAGAGCGGGAAGGGGAGGACCAGGCAUGAAGGGCGGGGCCAAGGUGGUUGUCAUGCCACACAAGCACGACAUCGUCUUCAUCGCCAAGGCCAAGGAGGACGCACUCUGCACCAAGAACAUGGUCGCCGGCGAGUCUGUCUACAGCGAGAAGAGGUUCUCCGUCCAGUUCAGUGCACUCUAGCUGCUCCUUCUCGGUUGCCUCUCAUGUUUAUGCGCAAUUCCAAACAAAUUCUAUGGGGUAAUCAGCUUAGACUCGGCUAUUGUUAGUUCCUAGAGGAGCAAAUGAUACGCUUAUUUUCAGUAAUUUUUAGAUAUAUUAUGGGGAAUCUAGUGCUACUGCUGUCAGUCCCUACUCCCUAGUGCUACUGCUCUAAAUUGACUUGGCGUUGCACUGCUUGCCAAAUUGAUUUGCUUUCUUGCUGCCACAAAAAGUCAGUACUCCCUAGUGUUGAAUCAGUAUUUACAUGCUUGCAAAUAUUGGUCUGAAUCUGCCAUGCUCCCUAAAGUUGACUAAAUCUCAUGGAAUAGAUUAUGUGUCCUUACUUCUUUUACUGUUUUGUUCAUAAUAUAUUGGCUCUAGAUUUUUUGAUUCUUCUCUUCUGAUUCAUGUAACAGCUACCUUGCCUGGCGCUGGUACUAUUAUCCUAUACUAUUUUACUAUCUGUAUGCUCUUCACUGCCCCUGGAAGGUAAAUGACAACAUUGAAAAUGGCUCAAACCCGAAGUACUUUAAAUAGAUUGUCAUUUCAGUCAAAUGUUGUUUAGAAAUCCAGUUUGUACUGAUAAACUUGCACCGUUUCUGCCUAUUUAUAAUGUUAAGUUUUGUUUGAUAAAGCACAACACAGUCUCUACCUUUUGUUAUACUGAUAAUUUUUGUUUAGUUGUAAUUCCUUUCGUAUUGUACAAUUGUAUAGAUACUGUCCCAUGCACAAGUGAUAUUCGGCCAAAUGAUAUCUUGUGCUUUCCAAAGUGAUUUGUACCCAACUGCUUGUAUAUGUAUUUUGUUCUUAACUGUAGAUUUCCUCUCACAGUACCUCCAUGCAAAAUAAGGUUGAACGGAGGAGAGUUUGUGACUGCUAUAGAAGGAUUGAAGGAGGUCCAUGUUGAAGAAGAUCGACAGAAGCAAUAGAGCUUGUAAUAUUGUCAUUGCCAUUGUAUUUGUGUUGUAUGAUGUAUCCACGUUUACCCACAAAAAAUGUAUUCACGUUGUAAUAUUGUGAUUGCCAUUCUGGCUACUAUUUCAAGUAGUGUAUUUUGCUA